CUCCAGUCCAGCCUCCAAGGAAGCCUGUAUUUUUCCAUGGAAUCUGCAGUCUUGACAUUCUCUGUGCCCCAGGCAUUUCCCACUGCCCACCUGGCAGUGGACAAGGACACGGGUUUGUGGGAAUCUGUCCUCAAGAGACCUGUGUUCCUGCCUGAACCCAGCCACAAUUCAUAAGAGAGACUGAGGUCCAGAGAGGGCCAGAAACCUGCCCAAGCCACACAACAAUGGAGGCUGGGAAUUGGCCUGGUGGUCUGAUGAGCCCUCUUGGCUCAGAGGGUCAUUGUGUAAGACACUCCCUUGUGCUGUGGGAACACGAGUAAGUCUCUCUAAGCCCCCACCCCUUCCCUGGCCUCAGUUUCCCAACUGAUGGUCCUCUCUUGUGCUUCUGGCUUGGUUACUGUCUUCUGCAACUUGUCAUUGCCAGUGGGUGGCCUUGCUCCAAACUUGGCAGAGAGCACCCAGCACUUCCUGGGGAUUCUUCUUGCAGAAAACAGGUCAGCCCCUCUCACUGUCUUUGCUCGAGCUAGAAUAGUCCAGAACAAGGAAGGAGACACCAUGUAAGCAUUGCGGGUACAGAUUUCAGCACUCACAUGCUAGGAGUCAGUUUAAGUGUAGAAACAAGAGACGGGGGCUAGACCUGAGGAAGCCCCUUCCGAUCCAUGUGAGAUGGUCUGCCUGAGCCGGCCUAAGCCUCCAGAGAGUUGUGGAACUUUUGCCUCUCCCAGCAGCUGUGUGUGACUUCAGGCCUCUCAUUCAGCCCCUUGGUCUCAACCAUACAACAGGCAUACUAAGCACUAAGUACUAAGUGGUCACUAAAGCCUCUUCUUCUUCAAGGCGACAGUUGAGGAAGAGCUAAGUGGACCUGCAGCUAUGAGGGUCCUUCUGACCACCCAACUGCUCACUGUCCUGUUGACAAAUGCCAAUUCCGUGUUAAGGUGAGAGAGACUUGGCUUCCUACCGCUGUCUGUACUCCGUGCUUCUAGGAAGGGUCUCCAGGCACAGCGGAUGCUGAGUCCUGUGCCUUAGUCUAUCCUAUGUGCAUCCCCUCAGAGUCCCUGAGAUGCGUGGCUAAUCUUGGUGUCUGCGCAGGUCUGGGAGUGUGUUUUGUGUGCAGCCAUACAUGUCACAGUCGUAGCACCCUUUAGCUUGUCCUUGCAUACCUGCUGCCAGGCAGCACUGGGCGGCUCUGGGUUCUGCCUGAGCAGAGUUGCUCAGGGUCCCCACAUGCAGGAGCCAACAGCCAGAGAAAUGAGGAACAACUAUCAGAGGGGUGGGGCGCUACUCAGGGCCAAGGAUAGCAACAUGGCCACACAUGGUUCUGUCCAUGGGGGGUCAGAACAUGGACGUAGCAAAGACCAGGUGUCAGGGCGAGUCAGGUCUCCCUCAUUCAAGCCAAGACACCAGCCUUGAGCCAGGGCCUAGUGUGGCCAGGCCUUCUUCAGCCUGGAGAGGACAUGGGGGGAGGGGGUAGAGAGGGUGGGAAAGGACCAGGAUACAGGGAGACGAAUUGAGGCUGGUAUCCCUGAUGUGUGAACUGCCCCUGCUAUGGAGAGAAGGCUCAGGAACUAGGGCUGCCAAAGGGGCAGGAGUGAAGACUAUCAGGGUUCCCUAUAUCCAAGGUAGCCAGUACGGGACCUGGGGUGCAGGGGCAGAGUUCUGAACCAGGAAUCAGCAGAAGCCAUGAGAAGCUGGGCUGAGGUGGGAGGCUGGCAGUCACCCCCAUCUCUGCUCCACUGGGACCCCAGCCAGGCUGAGUGCCCACCCACCAACUCCCUGUGUGCCCACCCGGCUGGAUCAUUCUGGAGCAGCUCUCCAUUAGGGGCGGGGGUUGGGGUGGGGGUUGCUGCCAGCUGGCCGAUGCAGACACCCCCAGAGAUGAGAGUUCAGAUGCCCAUGCCAGUUAGAGGGCGGUGUUCAAGGCUGCCACCCCCACCCUGGCGGCUGUGUUUUCCUGCUGUUCUCUGCAAUUCCAUUUAAAUACCUCCCAGAGCCAGCCCAGCAGCAGCCGCUUGCUUCCGGCACCAUAAAAGGAGAGAGACUGAGAAUAGCUGAGCCAUGACGCAGCAAGGAGCUUCCCCACGCAGGAAGGCUCUACGCGCAGAGCCUGCCACCACCCAGGGCCCACCCUGCCCUGCACCUGCUCUGCCCCUGCCCUGAAGGAGAGGUGGGGACCAGGGUCCCUGGCAGAGGAGCCGGAGACUGGUGACAUUGCCCCUGCCAUGGUGGCUUUGUGACUCUUAACAAACCAGACCUGCACAAAGACCUUAUAUCAGAUCCUUCAGGACUCAAUGUGGACAUGACCCAAAGCCUUACUGCAGCAACAUCAGUACCAGCCCCGCCAAGGCUCAUAGGAGAUGGGGUGAGAAAGCCUCAGAAAAGAUCCAGAAGAUAUGCUGCUGUCAGGUCACCGAGAGAGGAGGUAAGAGAGGACACUGGAGGUCCUGAGAGGUUAACCCAGGGUUAGAUGCUGAGCAUGGUAACAGGCAUAACUAUCCUUUAUAAAGCUUUUAAGGGAUUCACAAUGACAUUCUAAUUCCAUUUAUCAAGUGAGAAGUUAAGCAUGUCAGCCCAUAGUGCCACUUAAUGUCAGCAAAUAAAAUCCAAUUAGUAAGGAAGGCUCAGAAGCCCUUGAUCAGAACAGCAGCUGAGGGCCUGGCUUCCCCACCACAAGAGAAGCUGCUUAGCAGAGUGUGACCUUGUAGUUGGAUGGCAUAGUGGCCAAGCUAUAGUGUGGAGCCUAACACAGAGCUGGCAUAGGGACCAGGCAGCCAAAGCAGGGCUGUAGAAAAUGAACACUGAAGAGCUGUGUGUCCCUUCAGCUACAAGUGCUUUCCGCAGACCCACCGGGAAAGGAUUUCCCAGGAACGGGUGCAGGUAGGUGGCUGGCCGCAGAAUGGUCAGGCUUCAGGGUGUCUCUGGCAUGCUCAGGUUUGGUUGUAUAGUUGCUACUAAAACAGAUAUGGGAGUCAUGGGAGUUUGUGCAGCCUUAGAGAACUGCGGGAAGAUGUGGGGUGUUCCUGUGGGAGAAAGUCAGGGGCUAUAGAUGGGUCUGUCCUAAUAGUCAUGUGUACAGGACCUUGUGGAUGGGAGGUUCACAGACCACAGGGCUCUGCCCUCUCAGCACAGGGCACAAACUUUCUGGUGUCAGGUCUGCAGGGGUGGCAUUGAGCGAGAAGGCCCCCUUGUGUCUGUCCUUUUACUCCACACUGCUUCUCUGCCGGUUUGAUGUACCCAUGGGCCUGGUCGGAUGUUCCUCCAACCUUCCCAGAAUCCUUCUUCAGGAGGCCACAGCCCAGAAUCCCUAAGCUUCAUUGUGGCCGGCUUCCUAGGAAGCCCAGAGUAUAAGGCACAUGCCUACCCCCAGUUAUAGGACAGUCAAUUCAGCAUUGUGGACAGCAGCCAGUCCUGACUCACAGAUUACAAGGAACAUAGGCAUGAAGGUUGUAAUGGCUGAGGAGCACACAGUGAAUUUACUCCCACUAGAGAUGGUAGUAGGGGACAGUCCUAUAGGGUGAUGUUUCUAUUGAAUUCCAUGGAAAGAUUUUCAUUCACGUGUUUAGCCACCGAACAUUUGUCUUUCCUACCUCCUGUCCUUUGUGAGUUGUGGACAAAGCUCUCCAUCUCCCAGGGGCAGCUCUCUUUGGUUGGGCAAGCUCCUCCAUGGAUUGCUGCUGGGAUAGGGGUACAGAGGAAGGAUGGCGCUGAAGACUGAGGCUAUGAUCUCACUGAUAGGACAUUAGGCAGCCAGGGUGCUGGACAGAAGCCUGGGGAAUUAGUGGGAGGACAACCCUGGUCAAGGAGUCCUACAGAGGGAGCUCUAUCAACCCCAGCCAGAGGGUUCAGAAUCCCUAAGGGGCCUCAGAACCCUGGCAUCGCCCUUAUCCCCAUCAAACAAGAACUCUCAUGGCUCUCUGGCCUGAGGAUAGUGCCUCUAAGGGGCGCCACACCCUGAUUUACCUCCCACCCCUGGAGCCUAAGCCUCUCUGCUAUUAAACACAUUAAGGGGUGAGGAGAGCUGGGGGUUACAUCUUUGGAACCACAAACAGAAUCUCUCAUUAAUUCCUUAUAUUUAGCCAGUCUGCAGCUUGCCCUGUCACUCAACAGGGAGCCCUGAACUCCCUACUUAAAAACCUGUCCCAUAGGACAGCAUGACACUAGUUGGGGAUGCAAGGAGUGCCCCAGUGGUGGGGCUGCUGGGAGGCAAGAACAAGCAGGCAAAGGACCAUGGUGUAAAUGAACUGGAGCCAGGACCAGUGCAGUCCGCUCCAGCCACAGCCCACCAUCUCCCACAGGUCACAGCUACCAUCUCACUAAGCUCACUUCCUCCAAGGGCUAGGCUCCUAAGAGGAUGACCCCAGCCCCAGUUCCCAGACUUGGACCUUCCCUCAGGGUUCUCUUCUAAUUUCAGACCCAAUCUUAAUGAAGGUGACAGCAGCCAUCACAGUCCCAUCCAGGUUCCUCUCCCAGGCCUCACCCGACUUCUCAUGGUACCCAGGUCCAGUGUAUCUGGUCAUGGGAAGCCUGUGUUGACUCUCACCCAGGUAGGUGGGCACAGAGCAGCCCUUCUUCCACCCUUUCACCCAGUUAACCCACCAACUUGCCUACCCAUUGUUCUCUAUUCUCUACCCAGAGGACAAAGACUGUGGCUUCUUUCUUGCUGUGCAUGUACUUCUGUGGAAACAACGCUGUGACGGGAUGCUUCUGCUCUUCCACCAAGCAGCAAGUGCUGGAGGUGGGGGCGGGGGCGGGGGCGGUUCUACCCAGGCCCUCAUAAGCAGGGGACAAUCUUCUCCAACCAGAUGCCAGCAGGAUGAUCUUCCUUGAACAGCUGCAAAGGGCCAGGUAGGGCUCAAGUAACCACACCAUGGCAGAGGAAACUACAUAACCCGGAAAUAAUACCUGCCUCUCACUGGUCUAGGUAUUAUGGAUAUGAGCUCCUUGUGCACACCUACAGGCAAUGAAGGAGCAGUCUUUACUUGCCAUCAGAGCUGAUAAAUUAACCUCCUUCCAGGAAAUGAGAGGUGAUGUGAAAGGCCUCUUGACAAAUAUACAGAGAAGGCUCUGCUAGUGGGAAAGGAGCAGUCAGGAAACUGUGACAUUGACUUGUGGUAGGAAGCAGGAAUGAGCCAAGCAUAGCAGCCUAUGUCUCUGAUGCUAACACACAGGAGACUAAAGCAGGACUGCCAGUUCUAGGCCAGCCUAGGUUACACGGUAUCUGAGAGGCAGGAUAGAGCAGACAGGAUAUAGGGGGAGCCAGAGAACACUCUGCCCUGGAGAGCUUGGGGCUUUCUGAGGGCCUCAGUGGCCACUGGACAAAGGGACAUCUCCCCUGGGACCCAGGGAUGAACACAAUGGGGGCUGUUGUUGUAGAAGGUGCUCUGGGGACAUCACGUAUCUAGUAGUGGCAAUACCAGGAACAGGUCAAGGUCAGCCAGCACUGGUCCUAGAAUGUGGUCUGAUGGACACAAACCUUAUGGACCCAGCUCAACCAGGCCUGACCGAUCCUCUUACAGUAGGGACUCUGCACUCCGCAUGCCCACUGAUGCUCAGGCAAGUGUGACUUCUGACCUCUGACCUGCAGCAGCUUAAAUAACCAUAACAAUUACACAACGGUCCCCCAUAUAAAUCAGAAACCUUGCAGCACAUGAGCAUGCAAAUGUCACCCAGACACACAGAAAAAGUGGUGUGACAGAAGCAUGACCCUGGUCAACAGGGACCAAAGAAUCACAACAAAGACUUCUAAAAACAACCUAGUUAUAAUAUUCACACAUACAGGAAAAGCAAGACAACACUCGCCCACAACUACAGCUGUCCGCAAUGACCAUCCUCAGUUUAGACAGAUACAGAAACACAAACCAACAUUCCCCAAACCCCUCUGGCUCUCAGAGGUUCGGACAAAAGUCUCUUGGUGUAGCAGCCGUCGACCACUGGAAUGAAAACUGGUAAUACAGCCACAGGAAUCGCAGAGGGAAGAAGGUCAAAGACAAAGCCACGGUGAACGAACAGAGCUAACGGCUGCAGACAAGGGCAAUGGGAGUCACAGGCACAGCAGCCACAGUGCUACUCCUCAGCUACAAAGCUACAAUGUCAGGAAAACAGUCACGUCCUCCGACAGCUGGUCUCCAUAGAACUAACCAGUGCAGACACAUAUUCCACUGGAGUAGUGCUAACCCACCUACCGCCUCCCCUCACCCCCACCCCGUGAGCUCCAAGCCACUGAGUGUUGUUCUGUGACUUUGCAAACCAUUCACAUAAAGGCUGUUACUUUGAAA
rnacentral:sRNA from 1 species